CAGUUAGUUGGUGGGGUAAAAGCCUACCAAGGCCACGAUCGGUAGCUGGUCUGAGAGGACGAUCAGCCACACUGGGAUUGAGAACGGCCCAGACUCCUACGGGGGGCAGCAGUGAGGAAUUUUCGGCAAUGGGGGCAACCCUGACCGAGCAACGCCGCGUGCAGGAAGAAGGUUUUCGGAUCGUAAACUGCUUUUCUCUGGGACGAGCAAGGACGGUACCAGAGGAAGAAGCCCCGGCUAACUACGUGCCAGCAGCCGCGGUAAUACGUAGGGGGCGAGCGUUGUCCGGAGUUACUGGGCGUAAAGCGCACGCAGGCGGUCGUGUCAGUUUGGGGUUACAGCUCCCGGCUCAACCGGGAGAGCGCCUCGAAGACGGCAGGACUUGAGGGCCAGAGAGGGACACAGAAUUCCGGGUGGAGUGGUGAAAUGCGUAGAUAUCCGGAGGAAUACCAAAGGCGAAGGCA
rnacentral:rRNA from 1 species